GGCCGGUCCGCUAGAUGCGCUUCCCGCCAAAUCCCCCUCCCCCAGUUCAGCCCCCGGCCGCUCCACUCCCUUUCAGGGACAGGAAGGCCCCACUACGGACCGGAAGUCACAGAGUUUCCGCCUUCAUGCAACUAAGCGCCGCCAUAUUGUCGUACGGAACACAGGCUUCCUGUGGCCGGAGGUGACAGUAGGCCCGCCCCGCGAACACCUCCAGUGCGGCCCACAUAGUCAGCGGUCUCUUCCAGGUCGGAGUUUGUCUCCCCGAACCCAGGCGUCCCAAAGCAGCUGGGGGCCGCCAUUUUGCCGUACGGCACUGGCUACGCCCGGACUCCGGUGCGCAGCCAGUGGAGCUCUUUUCACCCGGUGCUUCUACGACUCCGCCAAUCAGAAACUUCCUGCCUGGGGCCCAACCGCCGGAGAGUAGCGCGUAGGGAGGACCGAGCCUCGUUUCCAAGGAGGGGCAGGGGAACCGAACAGGGUGGAUUAGGAAUUGGGCUUUCCAAAGCUGUGCAGAGUUUCAGGGAAGGGCAGAAGUCUCUUAAAAGGGAAGUAAAACCUUUUCUUUCAGUUGGGCUAUUGGCAAGCUAUCUGGCCCUGCUUUCCUGUCCCCCAGGUUCCCAUUUCCACGGCUUAUUCGGCUGACCCAGCCCCUUCCCCUGCAAGGGCGGCGCGCUCCUUGCCGCUGUCCAGCAGCUGUUUCUACUGCCAGGUGCUGCGUCCCGCGAUCGUUAUAACACAUGCGUACAAAUGAGCACAACGCGCCAUAAAAGUGUUAUUGUUAUUA